rnacentral:rRNA from 1 species
GACGACCCAUAGAUCCGACGGGAGCUCAGUCGUGGGAGGCUUCCGUAAAGGAUGAUCCUGGCUCAGUCCAAACCCGGUUGAGUUAAAAUGGUUUUCCGAUUGUAAAACUACAAUGUUAGGGAAGAACAAGUACCGUUCGAAUAGGGCGGCACCUUGACGGUACCUAACCAGAAAGCCACGGCUAACUACGUGCCAGCAGCCGCGGUAAUACGUAGGUGGCAAGCGUUGUCCGGAAUUAUUGGGCGUAAAGAGGCCGCAGGCGGUUUAUUAAGUGAGAUGUGAAAGCCCCAGUGACAACCGGGGAGGGUCAUUGGAAACUGGGGAACUUGAGUGCAGAAGAGGAAAGGAGAAUUCCAUGAGUAGCGGUGAAAUGCGUAGAGAUGAGGAGGAACACCAGUGGCGAAGGCGACUUUUUGGUCUGUAACUGACGCUGAGGCGCGAAAGCGUGGGGAGCGAACAGGAUUAGAUACCCUGGUAGUCCACGCCGUAAACGAUGAGUGCUAAGUGUUAGAGGGUUUCCGCCCUUUAGUGCUGCAGCAAACGCAUUAAGCACUCCGCCUGGGGAGUACGGUCGCAAGACUGAAACUCAAAGGAAUUGACGGGGGCCCGCACAAGCGGUGGAGCAUGUGGUUUAAUUUGAAGCAACGCGAAGAACCUUACCAGGUCUUGACAUCCUCUGACAACCCUAGAGAUAGGGCUUCCCCUUCGGGGGCAGAGUGACAGGUGGUGCAUGGUUGUCGUCAGCUCGUGUCGUGAGAUGUUGGGUUAAGUCCCGCAACGAGCGCAACCCUUGAUCUUAGUUGCCAGCAUUCAGUUGGGCACUCUAAGGUGACUGCCGGUGACAAACCGGAGGAAGGUGGGGAUGACGUCAAAUCAUCAUGCCCCUUAUGACCUGGGCUACACACGUGCUACAAUGGGCAGAACAAAGGGCAGCGAAGCCGCGAGGCUAAGCCAAUCCCCCAAAUCUGUUCUCAGUUCGGAUCGCAGUCUGCAACUCGACUGCGUGAAGCAGAAUCGCUAUAAUCCCGGAUAAGCAUGCCGCGGUCAGUCGUUCCCAGGCGCGGUCGCGCCUCCCGUCACUCAGUCGUAACUAGGUACGCCGUAGAGUCUGUGCAGGAUCAGUCGUAACAAGGUAGCCGUAGA